UGCGAAGGGGGCUAGCGUUGUUCGGAAUUACUGGGCGUAAAGCGCGCGCAGGCGGUCUUCCAAGUCAGUGGUGAAAGCCCGGAGCUCAACUCCGGAACUGCCAUUGAAACUGUUGGACUUGAGUACGAGAGAGGUGAGUGGAAUUCCCAGUGUAGAGGUGAAAUUCGUAGAUAUUCGGAGGAACACCCGUGGCGAAGGCGGCUCUCUGGAACGCAACUGACGCUGAGACGCGAAAGCGUGGGGAGCAAACAGG
rnacentral:rRNA from 1 species